GCCGUCUAUUAUCAUCUGCUACUUUGUCUGUCCGGUUAGCGGAGAAUUCGUUGAAGAUACGAUACUGAGGAGAAAUAUUCGUUUUAAGGACAAAUUUUGCAGCUUAUUAAUGUGGCAACAGCACCGCGCUAAUUAUCCUUAUUAAUGCAGUGGCGUCAGGAGAAGGAGACGGCAUCAUAAAAUUGUCAACUUUUUGUGUUUAAAAUCGCGAAAGUUGGCGAUUUUGUUUUGUUUUUGCGGUGCCUAUCUCUUGUUGUUGGUUGCGUUGAAGGAUUUACGUGCGUGGCGUCAGGAGGAUGGAGUCGCAUAUAUGUAUCUGCUAGUUUGCCUGACAAGUUUUGCGUUUUUCUGUUAUCGGAAGAUUAUUGAACAUACGAUACUGCGGAAAAUUAUGCAAUUUAGGGAAGGAUUUUGAGGCUUUUAAAUGUGGUGUCAGCUCCGCGCUAGUGAUCCUUGAUAAUGCAGUGGCAUCAGGAGGUGGAGACGGCGUCGUAAAAUUGUCAAUUUUUUGUGUUUAAAUUCGCGAAAGCUGCCGCUUUUGUUUUUCUUUUGCUGAGACCGCCUCUUCUUGUUGGUUGCAUUGGAUCACCAGUUGGCUGUGGUCAAGGAGAUUUUAGCGUCAACUAAUGUAGGCGCUCGUCGAGCUGGGAGAUUUUAAUUUUUACUUUGUACCCCCGCCAGAAGGACGGAAGCAUCGAGUCGCUGGAGGCCUCGAGAGUCAUUGGAGGUGAGUAUUAGUUGUGUUUUGGCAGGAAAUUAGCUGCGGACGCUGGAUGCGCGCCACUUGCAAUAUGUAUGUCCGGAAAGCGUUGCAUGUAGUUUAUUGGUGGUCAGCUUCGCCGGUCGUCGGGAAGAGGAAGCCUGAAGAAAGGUCCCGCACAGCGGUCGUCACGUAGUUUUGGAGCUGCUGCCAUUAUUGUGGUGGGAUCUGUCUCGUUUUGGCAGAGGAGUCGUCAGUGAUGAUUGUGGCUUGGUCGUUCAUCUAGAGUGGCUAGGUGCGCCGCGUUUUGUGGCCAUUUCGCCAGGGUUUGCAGCUUGGAGCCUCCGGAACGUGAUUAGUUGCCGAGGGCCGUCGCAACGAUUGGGUCCAUGGAAAUGGAAGUAAAAUUAGAGAUUGGGUAUAUUUGGUGGGAGGUACAUUAGAUGGAAGCUAAUCUGGUGGUACGUUUUGUAACUAAUUAGGAGGCCCUUUGUUUUUGGAACAUAGCAACGGAAGAGCCGCGGGUUUAGUGUCGUUGUUGUUGCUGCUGGCUUCACUUUUAGAUACUGUUGCGCGCGCGCCUCUGUCGGUUUUAUAAUCUCAACUGACUUUCAAAAUUGGGCUAGGCGCGUAGGCGGGCUUUUUCGAUAGCUCAAAGGCACGGCGGAAUAUCGAUAUGCUAUCAAUUUCCCUGCAGCUCGUUAUCGAUAUUUCGCCCCUUUUUUUUGG